rnacentral:rRNA from 1 species
GACGAACGCUGGCGGCGUGCUUAACACAUGCAAGUCGAACGGUGACGCGCUUUCCUUUUUGGUUGGUGUGGAUGAGUGGCGAACGGGUGAGUAACACGUGCGUAACCUGCUCCCUUCUUCUGGAUAACGGCAUGAAAGUGUGGCUAAUACGGGAUAUUCUGUAUCUGUCGCAUCAUGGGUCUGUGAAAGAUUUUGUUUCUGUGUGGGAUGGGCUCGCGUCCUAUCAGCUUGGUGGUGGGGUGAUGGCCUACCAAGGCGGUGACGCGUAGCCGGCCUGAGAGGGUGGGCGGUAACACUGGGGAGGAGAGACGGAGAAGACUCCGACAGGAGGCAGCAGUGAGGAAUAGAGCACAGGGGGCGGAAGCAUGAUGCAGCGACGCGGCGGGAGAGAAGGAGGCCGUCGGGUUGUGAACCUCUUUCGGGAGUGAAGCGGGGCUGCCUAGUAUGUGGGUGGGUUGACGGUAGCUGGAUAAGAAGCGCCGGCUAACUACGUG